ACAAACAAACAAGAAAGCGCUUGCCGUAAGGUACAGCACUAAGAGAAUCACUUAAUUUUUGGGGGAAAAAGAAUGCUGACUCCCAGUCAAAAAGAAAGAGGUAGAAGAGGAGAAAGAGGAUGGUUAUACGUGAGCAGAUCUCAGAGUUGGUUUGAUAUCACUGAGCAGCAGGAUGGAGGAAACGUCUCUGCUGUGUCUGCUCUUUCUGAUCUCACUGCUGAGCUGCACCACAAACCAAGGUCAGUAACCUUCUUCUGUCACACUGUAAACCUGACUCACUCUUCCAGGAGACAUUUAGUAAGAACAUGGUGCAGCGAACUGCAGACAGACUCCUCCUCAAUAAUAUCAGUGUUAUC